GUUUGUGCUAGCGUAUAUGUAGGCAGAAUGAGAUAGGCUAUGGGCUGAAAUGAUGCUCAAGAUUAUUGUUAUUGCUUCUCAAAGCAAUUUAACAUUAGGGAAUCUGGUGAAUAUCAUGUAAAUCUCAGUAAAAAGAAAAAAAUCAUUUUUCCUUACUGAAAUUUUAUUGCAAAGUUAUAUAUUCAAACAUCACAAAUUAUUUAAUGUAAUAGUUCCUAAGCAAUCCAUUAUGGUCCAUCUAUGAUAUGAAAUGGGCAUUUGAAAACUUUCUUUCUCUAAGCUAAUAAAUAGUUUUUGUUAAAAAUAAAAGUUAAGCAUAAGAAAUUAGAUCCAAAUUUACCACUCAUGAUGAGAAGUACCACCCUCUUAGUGACAAAGAAAUCAAGUUUGAAAAAAAGAUAAAAUUCUCAAACUGUAUGUUAAAGAGAGUUUUAUUUCAUUGUGAAACCUAAUUAAACGUUGAAAACUUCAAGGUUUGUUACCACCCUUCCAUUUAUUGUAACAAAUCUACACUAGAGAUUUAUUAGGAACUACAUGAAAACUGCUUGAAUAAUGCCACCAAGUCUAGAUGCAUACACAUGCAUGCAUGUAUCAUACAUACGUGCAUAUAUACAUGUAUACAUACAUAAUACAUACAUACAUACAUACAUACAUACAUACAUACAUACAUACAUACAUA
rnacentral:lncRNA from 1 species